rnacentral:rRNA from 1 species
UACGGGGGGGGGCAAGCGUUGUUCGGAAUUACUGGGCGUAAAGCGCAUGUAGGCGGCCAACUAAGUCAGACGUGAAAUCCCUCGGCUUAACCGGGGAACUGCAUCUGAUACUGGAUGGCUUGAGGUUGGGAGAGGGAUGCGGAAUUCCAGGUGUAGCGGUGAAAUGCGUAGAUAUCUGGAGGAACACCGGUGGCGAAGGCGACAUCCUGGACCAAUUCUGACGCUGAGGAGCGAAAGCCAGGGGAGCAAACGGG